rnacentral:lncRNA from 1 species
CGAGCACCCUAGAUUUGUGGUCUACCCAAAAAAUGCUGAAAUACUUGCCAUUGUUAUUAUCUAGCUGUCUACUAUGUUAUAUAUAACUAAUUGAACACUUUUUUAAUACUUUUUAUUCUAGAAUAUAAAAAAUAUUACCAUAAAAACGUUAAAUGGUCGUCGAUUUUCCCAAAAGUUUUGAAGUUGCACAUAGGAAGUAGUGCUCAUUAGGAAUUCUUAUGUAGUUUAUUAUCGCCUGUGCUUUUGGCUAAGAUGUCAAAAAACAAUUGUACGAAAUAUUUAAUCGCCGAAAAUCUUUUAAGACAAGUAGUUAAGAUUUCCCAAAUGGCAAAAGUCGUAGGAAUAUUGUUUGUCGUCAAUACGUAGUACAACUACGUCAGUAGUCUAUUAUAUAAUAAGUUCAACUGUUCAUGCUGUUGGCGGCAAUUUCAAAUUAGAAGACGAAAUUCGUAUCUUUUCAAUUUGGAGGCAGGGGUUCAAAUUAGCGGUGAUCCGAGGUCCGCGACCUUCCACUUUCGAAUUGGUUACUAGCCACGCCCGACGGGCCUUCCACUCUGAGACAACUAUAUCACAGUUAUAGUAGUCUCAGUUCCACUUGAAAGAAAAUAAAAAAUAGCUUUGCAAACCUUUUCGCCAAAGUCUCCAAAUCAACGAUCUCAAUACUUAUUUUAAUCAUUAUUAUUCAUGACAGCGAUGUCAAUUUAGUUCAAUCGCUAGCUAUAUACAGAAAAUCGCCGACAAAAAAUGUGUUAAUACGAGUAAAAUCGUAUCUGACUGACAAAAACAACAUUGGAACACAAUGACAAUGGCUGCCGUGAAAAGACAAUUACAAUUUCGGAUCCGAUUCCGGAAGCGGAUAAGGGUAAUUCCGGGUUUUUGGCUAAUCCAGGCAGG